GCGGCUGUGGUGAAAUUGGCAGACACGUAUGAUUCAGGUUCAUAUGGGAAACCGUGCAGGUUCAAGUCCUGUCAGCCGCACCA
rnacentral:tRNA from 1 species